rnacentral:rRNA from 1 species
AAGGGCACCACAAGAACGCGUGGAGCAUGUGGCUUAAUUUGACUCAACGCGGGAAAUCUUACCGGGUCCGGACACACUGAGGAUUGACAGGCAAUCAUGUGAAUCGUUUUUAUCUUUUAAAACAUUCGCAUAUAAAUAUGCUAGUCCUUUCAUGAUUAUGUGAUAGGUGGUGCAUGGCCGUUCUUAGUUCGUGGAGUGAUCUGUCUGCUUAAUUGCGUUUCAUACUGGACUUAGAAAUCAAGUGUGUUUAUUUUUCUUGUGCGGUUAUGUUUUAAUGCAUUUUGUUACCCCAUUUUUUUGGGUGAGUUUCAAUUUGUGUUUUACAUUCCGUGCUUUAUUGAUAAAUAAAUACACAUCUAGUCCUGAAAGCAACGAACGUGACCGCAUCCUCUUGUUGCCUUUUAACUUAAAACAUUUUUUUUUAUUUUUUUUACUUUAAUUUCUUGUUUUAUAAUAUAAGAGGCUUUCUUAAAACUAGAGGGACCGCUGCGACUUUUUUAAACCAGAGGAAGGUUGCGGCAAUAACAGGUCUGUGAUGCCCUUAGAUGUUCCGGGCUGCACACGUGCUACGAUGAUUAUUGCAGUGAGCAUCUCAUUUACAGCACUGUUUUCAUUUUUUUUUUAAAAUGAGCAGUCAAAGCCUGCUUCGAAAGUUCGCAGGUAAUCAAUUGGAAGUAAUGAUUUCCCUUAACUCAAAUUUAUUUUUGAUUUUGUGAGCACACAAUAUGCUGCUCCCCUCCCUGGCAUUUAGCUUUUUGUCUAUUUGUCAUUGUGUGUGGGGAUGCUCAGCAUGUGCUUUUUGUCAAUUCAUGGUGGGGACAGACCAUUGUUAAUUGUUGGUCUCGGUCUCAACUAGGAAUGCCUUGUACGGGUCUUUGGUUCAACAAACCACCCGGAAUACGUCCCUGCCCUUUGUACACACCGCCCGUCGCUUUUACCGAUGGACUUCUCUGUGAGUUUGAGGGACUGGGUACCUUAGUUCUUUUUAUUUUUUUUUUAAUUUGAAAAAAGCUAUAAUCACUUAUGGAAACUUAAACGAACAGUGUGGUCUAAAGGAAAGAGAAGUCG